rnacentral:rRNA from 1 species
GUGAGGAAUAUUGGACAAUGGGCGCAAGCCUGAUCCAGCCAUGCCGCGUGCAGGAAGACGCAUCUAUGGUGUGUAAACUGCUUUUGUACGGGAAGAAACACUCCCUCGUGAGGGAGCUUGACGGUACCGUAAGAAUAAGGAUCGGCUAACUCCGUGCCAGCAGCCGCGGUAAUACGGAGGAUCCAAGCGUUAUCCGGAAUCAUUGGGUUUAAAGGGUCCGUAGGCGGUUUAAUAAGUCAGUGGUGAAAGCCCAUCGCUCAACGAUGGAACGGCAAUUGAUACUGUUAGACUUGAAUUACAAGGAAGUAACUAGAAUAUGUAGUGUAGCGGUGAAAUGCUUAGAUAUUACAUGGAAUACCAAUUGCGAAGGCAGGUUACUACUUGUGGAUUGACGCUGAUGGACGAAAGCGUGGGGAGCGAACAGGAUUAGAAACCCUAGUAGUCC